rnacentral:rRNA from 1 species
GGAGGAAUAUUGCACAACGGGGGGAACCCAGGUGCAGCAACGCCGCGUGAGUGAAGAAGGCCUUCGGGUUGUAAAACUCUUUUCUGAGGGAUGAGGAAGGACAGUACCUCAGGAAUAAGUCUCGGCUAACUACGUGCCAGCAGCCGCGGUAAGACGUAGGAGGCGAGCGUUAUCCGGAUUUACUGGGCGGAAAGGGCAAGUAGGCGGCAUAACAAGUCCGUUGGGACAGAGCCCGGCUCAACUGGGAGAGGGCGAAUGAGACUGUUAAGCUAGAGGACAGGAGAGGGGAGCGGAAUUCCUUGUGUAGCGGUGGAAUGCUCAGAUACAAGGAAGAACACCAGUGGCGAAGGCGGCUCUCUGGCCUGAUCCUGACGCUGAAGAGCGAAAGCUAGGGGAGCGAACG